rnacentral:rRNA from 1 species
AUUGAACGCUGGCGGCAUGCUUUACACAUGCAAGUCGAGCGGCAGCACGGGGGCAACCCUGGUGGCGAGCGGCGAACGGGUGAGUAAUACAUCGGAACAUGCCCAGUCGUGGGGGAUAACACUUCGAAAGAAGUGCUAAUACCGCAUACGUCCUGAGGGAGAAAGCGGGGGAUCGCAAGACCUCGCGCGAUUGGAGUGGCCGAUGUCAGAUUAGCUAGUUGGUGGGGUAAAGGCCUACCAAGGCAACGAUCUGUAGCUGGUCUGAGAGGAUGAUCAGCCACACUGGGACUGAGACACGGCCCAGACUCCUACGGGAGGCAGCAGUGGGGAAUUUUGGACAAUGGGGGCAACCCUGAUCCAGCCAUUCCGCGUGAGUGAAGAAGGCCUUCGGGUUGUAAAGCUCUUUCGGCAGGAACGAAACGGUGAGCUCUAACAUAGCUCGCUAAUGACGGUACCUGAAGAAGAAGCACCGGCUAACUACGUG